AUCCUUUUGUAGUUCAUAAGUGUGAUGAUUGGAUAUUCACACCAAUGUGUGACACGCACCUCCCUCAAACCUUGUUAAGACCUUGGCACAUUAUCCAUCUGAUA